AGUAACGCGUGGGUAACCUGCCUUAUACAGGGGGAUAACAGUUGGAAACGACUGCUAAUACCGCAUAAGCGCACAGCAUCGCAUGAUGCAGUGUGAAAAACUCCGGUGGUACAGGAUGGACCCGCGUCUGAUUAGCUAGUUGGUGAGGUAACGGCUUACCAAGGCAACGAUCAGUAGCCGACUUGAGAGAGUGAUCGGCCACAUUGGGACUGAGACACGGCCCAAACUCC
rnacentral:rRNA from 1 species